rnacentral:rRNA from 1 species
GUGACAAGAAAUAACAAUACAGGGCAUCCAUGUCUUGUAAUUGGAAUGAGUAGAAUUUAAAUCCCUUUACGAGUAUCAAUUGGAGGGCAAGUCUGGUGCCAGCAGCCGCGGUAAUUCCAGCUCCAAUAGCGUAUAUUAAAGUUGUUGCGGUUAAAAAGCUCGUAGUUGGAUUUCUGGUUCAGAGGGCUUGGCCCAUGGCCAAUUUUAGGUUCAUGAGUGCCGAUGCUUUCGUACCAUCCUUUCGGUGAUGAUUCAGGUCCCCUUCAUUGGGUCAGCCUGGUUGUUCCGGAUCUUUUGCUUUGAAAAAAUUAGAGUGUUUAAAGCAAGCUGUGUGUUGAAUACAUUAGCAUGGAAUAAUAAGAUAGGACUUCGGAACUAUUUUGUUGGUUUGCGUUACGAAGUAAUGAUUAAUAGGGACAGUUGGGGGUAUUCGUAUUUCGUUGUCAGAGGUGAAAUUCUUGGAUUUCCGAAAGACGAACUACUGCGAAAGCAUUUACCAAGGAUGUUUUCAUUAAUCAAGAACGAAAGUUAGGGGAUCGAAGAUGAUUAGAUACCAUCGUAGUCUUAACCAUAAACUAUGCCGACUCGGGAUUGGCGGUUGUUUUUUGACUCCGUCAGCACCGUAUGAGAAAUCAAAGUCUUUGGGUUCCGGGGGGAGUAUGGUCGCAAGGCUGAAAUCCAUAUGACUAG